rnacentral:rRNA from 1 species
GUUGUAUGGUUAAGUGACUAAGCGUACAUGGUGGAUGCCUUGGCAGUCAGAGGCGAUGAAGGACGUACUAACCUGCGAUAAGCCGUGAGCAGUCGGUAAGAGACAUUACGACUCACGGAUUUCCGAAUGGGGAAACCCACUUAGCAUAAGCUAGGUAUCGCUNCGUGAAUACAUAGCGUAGCGAGGCGAACCGGGAGAACUGAAACAUCUAAGUACCCCGAGGAAAAGAAAUCAACCGAGAUUCCCUCAGUAGCGGCGAGCGAACGGGGAUUAGCCCUUAAGCAUCUUGGAAGUUAGUGGAACGGUCCUGGAAAGGCCGGCGAUACAGGGUGAUAGCCCCGUACACGAAAACAACCUUGAUGUGAAAUCGAGUAGGGCGGGACACGUGACAUCCUGUCUGAAUAUGGGGGGACCAUCCUCCAAGGCUAAAUACUCCUGACUGACCGAUAGUGAACCAGUACCGUGAGGGAAAGGCGAAAAGAACCCCUGUGAGGGGAGUGAAAUAGAACCUGAAACCGUGUACGUACAAGCAGUGGGAGCCCUUCGGGGUGACUGCGUACCUUUUGUAUAAUGGGUCAGCGACUUACAUUUUGUAGCGAGGUUAACCGUAUAGGGGAGCCGUAGGGAAACCGAGUCUUAACUGGGCGUCUAGUUGCAAGGUGUAGACCCGAAACCGGGUGAUCUAGCCAUGGGCAGGUUGAAGGUUGAGUAACAUCAACUGGAGGACCGAACCCACUAACGUUGCAAAGUUAGGGGAUGACCUGUGGCUGGGGGUGAAAGGCCAAUCAAACUCGGAGAUAGCUGGUUCUCCCCGAAAGCUAUUUAGGUAGCGCCUCGGACGAAUACUACUGGGGGUAGAGCACUGUUUGGGCUAGGGGGUCAUCCCGACUUACCAACCCCAUGCAAACUCCGAAUACCAGUAAGUAAUAUCCGGGAGACACACGGCGGGUGCUAACGUCCGUCGUGAAGAGGGAAACAACCCAGACCGCCGGCUAAGGUCCCAAAGUUCUGGUUAAGUGGGAAACGAUGUGGGAAGGCUCAGACAGCUAGGAUGUUGGCUUAGAAGCAGCCAUCAUUUAAAGAAAGCGUAAUAGCUCACUAGUCGAGUCGGCCUGCGCGGAAGAUGUAACGGGGCUCAAACCAGGCACCGAAGCCGCGGAUUCACNCUAAGNGUGAGUGGUAGGGGAGCGUUCUGUAAGUCUGCGAAGGUGUNUCGAGAGGNAUGCUGGAGAUAUCAGAAGUGCGAAUGCUGACGUAAGUAACGAUAAAGGGGGUGAAAAGCCUCCUCGCCGGAAGACCAAGGGUUCCUGUCCAACGUUAAUCGGGGCAGGGUGAGUCGACCCCUAAGGNGAGGCCGAAAGGCGUANUCGAUGGGAAGCAGGUUAAUAUUCCUGCACGACUUGUAAUUGCGAUGGGGGGACGGAGAAGGCUAGGUGGGCCAGGCGACGGUUGUCCUGGUGAAAGUGCGUAGGUGGUGUUUCUAGGCAAAUCCGGAGACACAACACUGAGACACGAGACGAACGCACNACGGUGCGGAAGCCAUUGAUGCCCUGCUUCCAGGAAAAGCCUCUAAGCUUCAGAUUACAAGUCAUCGUACCCCAAACCGACACAGGUGGUCGGGUAGAGAAUACCAAGGCGCUUGAGAGAACUCGGGUGAAGGAACUAGGCAAAAUAGAACCGUAACUUCGGGAGAAGGUUCGCUCUUGAUGGUGAAGUCCCUUGCGGAUGGAGCUGUCGGGAGUCGCAGUGACCAGAUGGCUGGGACUGUUUAUCAAAAACACAGCACUCUGCAAACACGAAAGUGGACGUAUAGGGUGUGACACCUGCCCGGUGCCGGAAGGUUAAUUGAUGGGGUUAGCGCAAGCGAAGCUCUUGAUCGAAGCCCCGGUAAACGGCGGCCGUAACUAUAACGGUCCUAAGGUAGCGAAAUUCCUUGUCGGGUAAGUUCCGACCUGCACGAAUGGUGUAACCAUGGCCAUGCUGUCUCCACCCGAGACUCAGUGAAAUCGAAUUCGCCGUGAAGAUGCGGUGUACCCGCGGCUAGACGGAAAGACCCCGUGAACCUUUACUACAGCUUGGCACUGAACAUUGAACCUACAUGUGUAGGAUAGGCAGGGCCCUGAAUCGGGCUCGCGGACAGUGCCUGGUGGGUAGUUUGACUGGGGCGGUCUCCUCCCAAAGAGUAACGGAGGAGCACGAAGGUUGGCUAAUCCUGGUCGGACAUCAGGAGGUUAGUGCAAUGGCAUAAGCCAGCUUAACUGCGAGACGGACAGGUCGAGCAGGUACGAAAGUAGGUCAUAGUGAUCCGGUGGUUCUGAAUGGAAGGGCCAUCGCUCAACGGAUAAAAGGUACUCCGGGGAUAACAGGCUGAUACCGCCCAAGAGUUCAUAUCGACGGCGGUGUUUGGCACCUCGAUGUCGGCUCAUCACAUCCUGGGGCUGAAGUCGGUCCCAAGGGUAUGGCUGUUCGCCAUUUAAAGUGGUACGCGAGCUGGGUUCAGAACGUCGUGAGACAGUUCGGUCCCUAUCUGCCGUGGGCGUUGGAUGAUUGAAGGGAGUUGCUCCUAGUACGAGAGGACCGGAGUGAACGAACCUCUGGUGUUCGGGUUGUCACGCCAGUGGCACUGCCCGGUAGCUAAGUUCGGAAUCGAUAACCGCUGAAAGCAUCUAAGCGGGAAGCGAGCCCUGAGAUGAGUCAUCCCUGACCCCUUGAGGGUCCUAAAGGGCCGUUGGAGACCACAACGUUGAUAGGUGGGGUGUGUAAGCGUAGCGAUACGUUGAGCUAACCCAUACUAAUUACCCGUGAGGCUUAACCAUACAACACCCAAGAAGUGUUCNCUAGUACGAGAGGACCGGAGUGAACGAACCUCUGGUGUUCGGGUUGUCACGCCAGUGGCACUGCCCGGUAGCUAAGUUCGGAAUCGAUAACCGCUGAAAGCAUCUAAGCGGGAAGCGAGCCCUGAGAUGAGUCAUCCCUGACCCCUUGAGGGUCCUAAAGGGCCGUUGGAGACCACAACGUUGAUAGGUGGGGUGUGUAAGCGUAGCGAUACGUUGAGCUAACCCAUACUAAUUACCCGUGAGGCUUAACCAUACAACACCCAAGAAGUGUUC